AGUUAAAGAAGAUGUCCAAAUAUAGUCAGCUGAAAUGUAAUGGCAUCAACUUCGAUUUCAACAUGCUAAACAUUGAGAAUAGUAUCUAGCUAUUAUUAUUAUAUAGAGCUGUCAAAAAUUGCUUAUGUUGGUAGAGGGGUCCAGAUCAUUUCGGUAAAAUUGUAACAUUUUACACGCUAUAGUAGACAACUUCUAAAAGGUAUGAACAUUUGUAUAAUAGGCCUUAUAAAGUUUUGUAAUUCAACUAAUACUAUCUUAAUCCUUCAAUUAUGCGGUUAAGAUGAAAAAAAUUUCAAAAUAAUGAAUUAGUUAUUAAAUGCACAUUUUAUGUGUAAUUGAAAGUCGACUGUAAUUAUUUAUUGUAAAAUACUUCUAUUUUCUUCAAAAGUAAAAAUGAAGGAUUACAUG
rnacentral:misc_RNA from 1 species